GAUGAACGCUGGCGGCGUACCUAAUACAUGCAAGUCGAGCGAACGGACGAGAAGCUUGCUUCUCUGAUGUUAGCGGCGGACGGGUGAGUAACACGUGGAUAACCUACCUAUAAGACUGGGAUAACUUCGGGAAACCGGAGCUAAUACCGGAUAAUAUUUUGAACCGCAUGGUUCAAAAGUGAAAGACGGUCUUGCUGUCACUUAUAGAUGGAUCCGCGCUGCAUUAGCUAGUUGGUAAGGUAACGGCUUACCAAGGCAACGAUGCAUAGCCGACCUGAGAGGGUGAUCGGCCACACUGGAACUGAGACACGGUCCAGACUCCUACGGGAGGCAGCAGUAGGGAAUCUUCCGCAAUGGGCGAAAGCCUGACGGAGCAACGCCGCGUGAGUGAUGAAGGUCUUCGGAUCGUAAAACUCUGUUAUUAGGGAAGAACAUAUGUGUAAGUAACUGUGCACAUCUUGACGGUACCUAAUCAGAAAGCCACGGCUAACUACGUGCCAGCAGCCGCGGUAAUACGUAGGUGGCAAGCGUUAUCCGGAAUUAUUGGGCGUAAAGCGCGCGUAGGCGGUUUUUUAAGUCUGAUGUGAAAGCCCCACGGCUCAACCGUGGAGGGUCAUUGGAAACUGGAAAACUUGAGUGCAGAAGAGGAAAGUGGAAUUCCAUGUGUAGCGGUGAAAUGCGCAGAGAUAUGGAGGAACACCAGUGGCGAAGGCGACUUUCUGGUCUGUAACUGACGCUGAUGUGCGAAAGCGUGGGGAUCAAACAGGAUUAGAUACCCUGGUAGUCCACGCCGUAAACGAUGAGUGCUAAGUGUUAGGGGGUUUCCGCCCCUUAGUGCUGCAGCUAACGCAUUAAGCACUCCGCCUGGGGAGUACGACCGCAAGGUUGAAACUCAAAGGAAUUGACGGGGACCCGCACAAGCGGUGGAGCAUGUGGUUUAAUUCGAAGCAACGCGAAGAACCUUACCAAAUCUUGACAUCCUUUGACAACUCUAGAGAUAGAGCCUUCCUCUUCGGGGGACAAAGUGACAGGUGGUGCAUGGUUGUCGUCAGCUCGUGUCGUGAGAUGUUGGGUUAAGUCCCGCAACGAGCGCAACCCUUAAGCUUAGUUGCCAUCAUUAAGUUGGGCACUCUAAGUUGACUGCCGGUGACAAACCGGAGGAAGGUGGGGAUGACGUCAAAUCAUCAUGCCCCUUAUGAUCUGGGCUACACACGUGCUACAAUGGACAAUACAAAGGGCAGCGAAACCGCGAGGUCAAGCAAAUCCCAUAAAGUUGUUCUCAGUUCGGAUUGUAGUCUUCAACUCGACUACAUGAAGCUGGAACCGCUAGUAAUCGUAGAUCAGCAUGCUACGGUGAAUACGUUCCCGGGUCU
rnacentral:rRNA from 1 species